GUGUUCGCUUCAGCAACACAUAUACUAAAAUUGGAAUGAUACAGAGAAGAUUAGCAUGGCCCCUGGGCAAGGAUGAUACGCAAAUUCGUGAAACGUUUCAUCUUUUU
ensembl:snRNA U6 U6 spliceosomal RNA